rnacentral:rRNA from 1 species
UACGGAGGGAGCUAGCGUUGUUCGGAAUUACUGGGCGUAAAGAGUACGUAGGCGGUUUUUUAAGUCAGAGGUGAAAUCCCGGAGCUCAACUCCGGAACUGCCUUUGAAACUGGAAAGCUAGAAUCAUGGAGAGGUUAGUGGAAUUCCGAGUGUAGAGGUGAAAUUCGUAGAUAUUCGGAAGAACACCAGUGGCGAAGGCGACUGACUGGACAUGUAUUGACGCUGAGGUACGAAAGCGUGGGGAGCAAACAGGAUUAGAUACCCUGGUAGUCCACGCCGUAAACGAUGAUAACUAGUUGUUCGGGCACAACGUGCUUGAGUGACGCAGCUAACGCAUUAAGUUAUCCGCCUGGGGAGUACGGUCGCAAGAUUA